rnacentral:rRNA from 1 species
UACGAAGGGUGCUAGCGUUGUUCGGAAUUACUGGGCGUAAAGCGCGCGUAGGCGGCGAUGCAAGUCAGGGGUGAAAUCCUGGAGCUCAACUCCAGAACUGCCUUUGAUACUGGCGAGCUUGAGUUCGGGAGAGGUGAGUGGAACUGCGAGUGUAGAGGUGAAAUUCGUAGAUAUUACGGAAGAACACCAGUGGCGAAGGCGACUCGCUGGACAGACAUUGACGCUGAGGUGCGAAAGCGUG